AGAAUGAGCUGCUAUUCCAAGGGAGAGAAGAAAGCAACCCCAGGAAGCCUGGCCCCGAAGACUGUGAGGUAUGGUGGGGCCUUGCUGUGCUCUGGACUGGACAAGAGGCACCCUGGGCUCUGGACACAGCCAGAUCUUCAGCCAAUUGCAUCUCCGGCCCAGGGCAGGCCCUUUAUCUUAUAGCCCAGUGGUGCCUCUCUCCUCACCUAGGAAACAAAGCCAACAGGAUCUGCACCACCUCUGCCUCCCGGACAUUGGAAGGACUAAAUAAGAUCAGAGACCUCAUUCCUAGAUGGAACGAGGAAUGGUAGCGACCACGAUCCUCCCCUCCCAGGAUCUGCGCCACAAGGGAAGAUCAGAACCUUCAGCUGCCAGAAGCACUGUGGCGGAAAUGUAGGUCCCCAUCCAGGCUGAUCUGAGCUUGGCUUUCUGGAGCACGCAAACCUCGAUGCACUGAACUGCUGCCGGACCUCACCUUGCCAGGCCCACUGUGCUCACACUCACACAUCGCUCCAUCCACUGGAGGCUGCAGAGGCAAGAUCCACCAAGAAGAUGGUCUUCCUGUCCAGGAUGCCCUUCCCUGAGAGAAGUGUAUUUAAUCUUAAAUUCAGAUGUUUGUUUGUCUACCCACUUAAAACACCCUGUUGAAUAAAAAUUACUCAAGGAA
rnacentral:lncRNA from 1 species